GAUAAUAACAUGUCACCAUGAAGGGGAGGCACUAUAAAGACUCUGUGAAAUGGUGUUUGCAAGAGUGCUGUUUGUAAAAUAUAUUACAUAAAGGGGUUCUUACUAUCAUUUUUGAGCUUCCCUGGUGGCUCAGUGGUGAGGAAUCUGCCUGCCAAUGCAGGAGACGCAGGACUCACAAAUAUGUCAGUUGAAUGUCCUUCUCUGUGCACUGACUCAGGCUUCAGCAUUUCAGCUCACAAGCUGCCUCCUCUCUGCCCUCCACUCUUUGAGGCCUGGGUCCAUCGCACCCUGCUGUGUGCUUGCUCCAAUCCAGUUCCAGCACUGCUCACAUGGAAUUAUUAUGACCAGUGUCAACAGAUGCCUCCCUCCCACAGCAGACUGUGACCACAUGGAGGCUGAGACAAUUUCUUAAUGCUUUUGCAAAUGCAUUGCCUAGCACAAGACGAGGCAGAUGGGUAAACAUUAGUUGAAUGAAUAAAGCAAUGAAUGAUAUAGAGUGAGCUCUCCCAAGGCCUGAAAAUUCACCUGGGGACCUUGUCAUUUGAAUAAAUCAAAAACGUCUCUGCCC
ensembl:lncRNA